CAAACCCCGUCUUUUGGGAGGGGCGCAUUUAUUAGAUAAAAUGCUGACGUGGGCUCUGCUCGCUGAUCCGAUGAUUCAUGAUAACUCGACAGGUCGGAUGGCCUUUGUGCCGGCGACGCAUCAUUCAAAUUUCUGCCCUAUCAACUUUCGAUGGUAGGAUAGGGGCCUACCAUGGUGGUGACGGGUGACGGAGAAUUAGGGUUCGAUUC
rnacentral:ncRNA from 1 species